GCCUCUAUGGCGCAGUGGUAACGGUGAGCGUUCAACUGUACCUUUUUCAAAAGUUCAGGCUGAUUCUGUGCAGCGUCGCACUUGUACCACUGGAAGAAUUCCCUUCUUCAUGCUUCAAUGCGAAGAUCACAAGUUCAAUUCUUGUUGGAGGCA